UCACUUUGGCAGCACAUAUACUAAAACUGGAAUGACACGGGGAAGAUUAGCAUCACCCCUGCCGAGGAUGACACACAAAUUCAAAAAGUGUUCCACAUUUUU
ensembl:snRNA U6 U6 spliceosomal RNA